rnacentral:rRNA from 1 species
CGUAGGGUGCGAGCGUUAAUCGGAAUUACUGGGCGUAAAGCGUGCGCAGGCGGCGCCGCAAGUCGAGUGUGAAAUCCCCGAGCUUAACUUGGGAAUUGCACUCGAAACUACGGUGCUGGAGUGUGGCAGAGGGAGGUGGAAUUCCACGUGUAGCGGUGAAAUGCGUAGAGAUGUGGAGGAACACCGAUGGCGAAGGCAGCCUCCUGGGCCAACACUGACGCUCAUGCACGAAAGCGUGGGGAGCAAACAGGAUUAGAUACCCUGGUAGUCCACGCCCUAAACGAUGAUGACUAGUUGUUGGGGGAGUUAAAUCCCUUAGUAACGCAGCUAACGCGUGAAGUCAUCCGCCUGGGGAGUACGGUCGCAAGAUUA